UUGUGCAUUUAAAUGUGCACAGCACAUACACCACAGUCUUGAACAGCACCUGUAUAAAACUACAGACAGAUUCUGGUAAAUGGUGAAAACUCAUACCAUGUAACAUUGUCAUCUAGGUUUUAUCACAAUAUUUCAAAGUUACAACAACCACCUCUGAACGUAUCUUAUGCGAGGCUCUCAGUUGUGGAUUUUGAUGGCGUGAAAAGUGACAAAGAACCAUUCCCAGGGAAACUCUUUGCGAUUUUGCUGUCUGAAUCCUAGAACAAAACCAUCUGUUAGCAGAGGUAGCAGUGAUAAUUACAUAAUGAUUGCUCACAUACAGAACACAUAGGAAGUAGAGAAAUCCCCCAAAUUACAGAAAAAAAAAAAACAACCUUGGGUGUGACAUCUCUGGGGUGCUCUCCCCGAUUUGGCUUCCUGUUUUUAAACUGUAUUUUUGCUUUGGCAGCAGCUGGCUUAAGGUGUGGUCCUGGUCUGCUCUGGUCUCACUGAACUUUGAUCUUAUAAUUACAAGCCUGGACCCUGAAGGUGCUGAACUCUCAUGGGAGCUCUCCAAUCAAGAGUACUAACAAGGAGCGAUCAAUAGGGGAGAUUUCCAGCAGACCUACAGAAGAGACACAGGAAUCAGGGGUACAAAGGGUUGUGCCUUGAGGGAGUGCAUGAUGUCAGUUCUGCACUCAUCCAGAGGUUCCUAUCCCCAGCGUGGCAUGGAUCCCCGUGCCCCAGCGCUGCUGUGGGUGGCCACAGAACCCCAGCCUCGUGCCUCACGUGCUGCCCCGUGCACCAUGCUGGGACCUCUCUUCUUUUAGCUAAGUAUCUAUUUUUACAUUGCCCCCAGGCAUCCUCCUCUGUAGCCAAGGUUAAAAUAAGCCAGAGUGUGCUUGGGGCGUACGAAACAUUUGUCAUCAUGCAGCUUAUAUCCCCCCCUUGGAUCUUAUUGUUUCAGUUGGAUAUCAGAGUCACGGGGCCAUGGGGUUAAGUCUCUAGCAGAUGCUUUUCAAGUCUGAGGGAGAGCUGGGCCCUGGUUGAGUUCUUCCCAGCCCCUACUCAAGGUGGGCGGCCCACAGGCCCGAGGACCCUCCAGAUGUUGAGGCAGCCCCUACACCUGAUGCCUGCUGGUUGCGAGGGGACAGCGCGGCGCCGGGCAGCGCGACCCGCGGGGUGGCCGCACGGAGCGCUCUAUGAGCUCCGCCGCCGUCCCGUUCCCCCGGGCGCAGGACGCCCUCGGGGCAGCCGGCGCGGGCGGACUUUUCUAGGCGGCGAGAGGUCUGCCCUAAACCCACCCUCCUUUUAACUAACACCGCUCUCCGGGUGAGGCGAGCC